rnacentral:tRNA from 1 species
UCCUCUCUAGCUCAGUUGGUAGAGUAUGGCGCUUGCAACGCCAAGAUAGUGGGUUUGAUUUCCGGGAUGAC